rnacentral:lncRNA from 1 species
UGGGUAAUCAUUUCUCAAGAGGCAGGAUUACUAUCGAUGUAAGUAACCUAUAAAUUAUUCACUGUUCUGACAACUUCUUAGUCCAAUAUCAGUUUACUAAGAUGGAGAUCUUUGGGAUUUAUUUAUUUAUUUGAGGGCUGCACCUGUCGCAUAUGGAAAUUCCCAGGCUGGGGGUCAAAUUGGAGCUGUAGCUGCCAGCCUACACCACAGCCACAGCAACACCAGACCUAAGCCAUGUGUGCAGCCUACACCACAGCUUACGGCCAUGCCAGAUCCUUAACCCACUGAGCAAGGCCAGGGAUCGAACCUGCAUCCUCAUGGAUUAUUAGUCCAGUUUGCUACUGCUAAGCCACAACAGGAACUCUUGGGUUAUAUUUAAAAUGUAAUAGAUACUCCACUAAGGAUCAUAAUUAUUUUUUAAUGAUUAUUAGACUUUCUUCUGUGUGUUUGUGCAUUCCUUGGAGGACGUACUAACUUACCAAAGGUGUUUCAGGAGAGAUCACAGAGGGACAUGUUAAGGAGGGAAAGCUUUGUAUUUGAAUUAGAUGCAUCAGAAUUUAAAUCCCAACUUUGGUCCCUAAGUUAUGUAUUCACUUGUACACCUUGCCUUCUUGCUUCCCACCUCAGUAUCCUCAUCUGUAAAAGAGGAAAAAAAUACUUUUUCUUGGGUUAUGAGGAACAUCAACUAAGAUACAAUUCAUGAGACACAUUAUUAAGCUUACAGCACGGCCUCAUAUGUUCUGGAACAACAGUAAAACUAUAUGCUAUGGAAAAUAUUAUUUUAAUUCUCUUUAAGCUGUACUGUACAGAACGAUUAGAGCCUAAAUUUAGUCCUGAAUAGUCUGAAUUCUAAGAACAAAAGUAUUUGGUGUGGGGUUUAGUUCAUUAAUGUCUGCUUACUAAUACUUAGUGGAUAUGAUUCUUGUAUUUUAAGCUACUUGAAGUUCUUUGUGGGAGCUAUUUAGUGCAUACAUUGUAAACUAAAAAUCAGAUAAAAUUCUGCUCCUGUUUUUUACAUGACUCCUAAUCUGUCAUAGCUGUAUUUUAAGUUAACCUUAGAAGGUGUACCUCAUAUAACACAUGCUUAUCUUCAUAAAUCAAUAGUAAAGGCCAAUUAUGUAAUUUUUUGCUAAAUAUUUUAUCACCUGAAUUUGGAAUCUGGAAAUUUAAACCUGAAAAGACCAAUUAAAUAUAAUUUUCCUGUUCAGAUGGAAAAUUCAUGCAAUUGUUCUCCUCAUUUUUUAUAAGUAGACACUUUUCUGCCCAAUUUUCUCCAUUCAACACAUUUUACACAAGCAUAUGGAAUAGCUUUUUUACAUCUUCCAUCAGGCAUGUGGAGGUUGGUGAGAAAAUACACCAUAAGAAAACAUUAAAAAAUACAUGAAAUACAUUCAAGAUGUGAAAGGAAAACCAAAUGCAGAUUUUUCACGGCCUGGCAUAUUUAGGAGUGAGAAAAGUAUUGGAUCCAAAGCCAUGAUCUCACUUUUGAUCAAAUUGCUAAAUAUGAGUAAAUAGAAAAAAUAUUUUUAUGUAGUUUUCAUGAUACAAGAAAAAUAAUUAAAAUUUGAGUUAUGUUACUGAUUAUAUCAGUAUUUAAGAGGAGUCUGAUAAUAUUUAAAUUGAGCAGAACAAGCAAAUUAAGUUCCUUUGGAGUAACAUUUAUAUAGUAAUCACAUAUUAUUAUAGAUUAGAAAUGAAAGAAUUUACCACAGAAAAAAUAAAACUAGAAGUAUAGGAAAUUCAGGGGAAAUUUUUUAAAGCCUGUCAUGUUCCUUUUAGUGUGCUAUCUGAACAUGCUAAAUAAUGUUUGUUUACUUUUAUAGCAACAAAUAGGAUAUUGAACUCUUUAUGGCUUCUUAAAUUCAAAGUACUAUGCUAAUAAUUUGAUAAAGAUUUUAUCAUUUAACUUCUAUAGAAUAAUUAUAUCAUUGGAAGAUACAUGUAACAAAAUUUCUUUUUUCCAGUUGAAGAAAUUGAAGCUUAGAGAGAAUAAGAAUAAAUGUAUAACAUCACACCUCUGUAAAUUGAUAGAAUUGGAAUUUGAUUUCAAUCACUAAGGAAUGCUACUUUUUUAUAAGAGUAUAUUGAUAAUCUGAGAGAAGGUAUUAUUAUAUCCCGUUACUUUCACAUACAGUGACAUAUCUGUAACAACAUAUGUAUUGUCUCAGUUUUAAAAUGGUCUGUAACUAUUUAAUCUCAUAUAAGUUUGAUAGAUAAUACAAUUUAGAUUUUGAGAAGUUAGAUUUGUUUCAGAGCAAAUGCAGAGUAAAUAGAGUUGAAGUUUAAACUUAAACCCCCCAACUAUACUCCUGUCUUGGAAGAAAUUGUCAUCCUAGUUGUAUGAGUUGAUCAACUUAAACUGACUCAUAUAUGUGCUUUUGUAUGUUUCUUCCUUUUGAACAUGCCAUUCGUUUAUAAGAUUACUAGUUGUGAUAUUUCCCCUUGUUUCAACAGAACUGUGUUGACUUUCUGCUAUUUGCCAGAUGUGUAUUGCUAUGGAUAUAAGUUAAAAAAAAAAAAAAACUGAAUCUAGCCUUCAAAACCUUAAGUCCCAGUUAAAAAAAUAAAGACAAAUAAAUAAUUGUAAAGCAGUGGGAUAAAUGCUUUCCUUAAUAGUAUGGAAAGCUAUCGUGGAAGUGGGGCAGUACUUAUUCUACCUUGCUUUGGCACAGUUUUGAAGAGGAGAUUAUUCUGAAGCUCUGGCAUAGAGUAAAGCUAAUUACUUACUAAUUUGGCCUAAUAAGUGGUGUGUUCCUAUACUUUGCGUUAAUCAACUACAAGAUUACUAAGUCAAUAAAUAUGCUUUAGGCAGCUCUGUUUGAGAAAUCUUGCAGCUGGGCUCUGUUGGUCUGUCACUUGGCAGCUGCCCUCAAGGAGUUCACCAUGAAGCCAAAGAAAUGAGAGGCCACAUUUUAAAAAAGGUUUGCUCUAUAAGGGCAGGGGAUUUUCUUCUCUGUCCAUGACUGUAUUCUGAGCUAUUUGUGAAGCCUGGUUCCAUGACUAUAUUCUGAGCUAUUUGUGAAGCAGUCAAAUAAUUAAGUGAUUAAUGAUUGAAUGAGUAUGAAAAAAAAUGUGGACUUUGUCAUCAAAUAUACUUGACUUCAAAAUAUCAUAUCUUCCAGCUACUAUUUUUUUGAUGGCAGGGCUUUGGGGAGUAAAUGCAUUUAACUUAUGUGAUAGUUUUGAUGACUAAAAAUAAUGUAUAUAAAUCGCCCCUAUAAAUUCACAUGAAAGUUGUUCAGCAAUAGAAAAUCAUAGAGCCUAGUGAGUUGUAGAGAUGAUAGUUCUGAGUGAGUCAAAGAGGCGAACUGAACUCAGUUGAGCUUCAUAGAUAGAAUUUCAUUAUGUUUCUGGUUCCAGAAGUUUCUGCCUCUUCUUCAAGCACUUUGUUUGACUCUCCUAUAAAUCUUGGAUAGUAAUAGUUAGGGAAUUAAAGACUCAGAUGUUGACUAACAUAACAAGAAUUUCCUAAAUGGUAUCUGGCUAGUGAUCAUUGUGAAUUGGAACAGUCAAGGGAAGUUUUACACAGGAGAAAAAGGGUAAAUAAAAUAAAACAAAAACAACAACAACAAACAGAGUACUCAAAUAGAGGAUGGAGACACAAUAAAUUUAGUGUAUUUGUAUGGAGAAGCUAAAAUACUUAUGGUACUUAAAAUUUUACAGAUGUAAGAAGCAGGAGCAAUUUUACAUGGUAGAAAAGUUAUGACCAUUCAGCAGCCAUAGAUAUCUUUGCUUAAAAAUAAGAACUAAUAUGUAUUGAUUAUCUCAUAAUUAGCACUUUUAAUGUGUAAUUUGUUAAUCAUUUUAAAAGUUAAAGAUAUUAUAUAUUAAAUAAUUAUAUUCCUAUUAUUAUGUGUCUUCUGUGGAUUAGAAAAGUAAGAUUUUAAAGAGGUUAAAUAAUUCAGCCAAGGUCAUACAUCUAUUUAUUGAAUGGAUUUUGAGAAAGUAUUUAUCUACAAAUGUGAUAUUUUUCGAAGUAUGGGUCAUGGAUACACUUGGAUUAGUACCUGUGAUGUUUUAAAAAUGCAUAUUUCUAGGCUUCACCCCAGAUAGACUAAAGUAGCUUGAGAGGGGCCAGGAAUCCAUAUUUUAAACCAUCCUUGAUAAUAAUUUAUAAUCAAUCAUUGAUAAUCAAUCUUGAUAAUUAUCUAUCUACAUACCUUAGAUUAUCUAUAAUUUGCCAUUAUAAGAAUGCAGAUGCUAGCUCAGUUUUUAAGCAUGAUGUUGUAUGUUAACUAGGCUGCCUUCAGUUUCCUCAUCUACAAAGCAGAGAGAAUAAAAUCUCUUCUCAUACAGUUGUUUGGAGGAUUAAAUAAACAAGCCUUACGUAUAAAGUCCUCAGAACGGAAUCUGGCAGUUUUUCAGUAUUCAAUAAAAUUACCUACCAUUAUUAUUUCUCAUUUCCUUCAAGACUGCCUUGAGGUAGAAUGGGUCUCAGAAACUAGUUUAUUCAUUUUAAUCACUACUCUCUUCACAUUCAUUUUCUCAGACUGAAGAGGUCUAAUCUUCUGGUGUUUCAUGGAGGCAUUCCAUUAUCUUGGCCAUUUAAAUUACAUCCUCCUGAGCUUUUUCUAUCUCCAGUUUAUCUUUGAUUUCACUAGCAAUCACACUAAGGAAUAUUGCAGAUGGGGCCUCUCAAUAAUUUCACAGUAGGAUAAGCUUAUGUUUUGUGUUAGUUCCCUACAAUUUAUAAGGGUGCCCAACUUUUAUUAGUCUUUUCAUGCACAUUAAGGGGAAAAAAAGCUUAAUAAUUUUCUUUCCUUUUCCCGGAUUAGAACUAAGAGCUCACAAUCCAUCAUCUAAAAAAAAUUGUGCUUGCAUUUGUUUUCUCUAAAUGCAUUAUCCUAAUUAAAAUAAUAACACUUUAUAUUCUCACAGUGCUUUAUGAUUCAGAAAAUCCAUUUGAUCAGAAACCAUAAAGGUACCAUUUCAUUAUAUAUUUUUACUGUUCUAUAGCAUUUCUUAAGCACACGUACACACCCACAUAGACAUAAAAUCAAACCAAAUAUUUUUCACCCUUCAUUCCAAAUCUUAUUACACAAUUAACAUGGGGUAGGAUUUAGGAAUGAUUGCUGUAGCAUGUAUGUCUUUCUUAUGUGUAAUAAAAUAGAAUUCUGGAGAUAUUUUUGAAAUAUUAAGAAUAAAAGUAUAUGUAUCAUCAAUUAUUAGUUUGGAUUAAACCAGAAUCUCCUGAUAACGAAGUGAAUUUUUAAAAUUGUGCUCAACUGAGUCUUGGUGGAGCCACAAAGUUGUCCCUGGACAGCUCAGCUCAUGGGGCUGGGUAGAGCAGUGAAUUCUGAGCAAAGAAGCCCUUUAGCUCCUUCACCCGAAUAGCUCAGUUUCAAGUGUUUUUAUCUGGCUUGCAAUUUUAUUUGAAGAAAAACGCCAUGGUUAAAACAGGAUUGAAAACUAUUAUAGUGGGUAAGACAGUGGAUUUAAAAAACUCCCCAUUCUCAGAAAUCACAUCAACCAAAAAAAUUUAUGUCUAGUUAACAACUCUAAAAUCUAAAGGGCUAUACAACAUUGAAAAUCCACUAUAUUUUAAUUUAAAAAUAAAUAAAAUCUCAGAGGCUUAAAACUAUGAUAUAGGAAUUACUGAUGUGGCUCAGCAGUAAUGAGCAUGUGGGUUUGAUCUUUGGUCUUGCUCAGUGGGUUAAGGAUCCCCCGUUACUGUCAGCUGUGGUGUAGGUCAUAGAUUCGGCUUAGAUCUGGCGUUGCUGUGGCUGUGGUACAGUCUGGCAGCUGCAGCUCCAAUUGCACCCCUAGCCUGGGGGCUUCCAUAUGCUGUGGGUGUGGC